rnacentral:rRNA from 1 species
CAGGCUUAACACAUGCAAGUCGAGCGGUAACAGAGAGUAGCUUGCUACUUUGCUGACGAGCGGCGGACGGGUGAGUAAUGCUUGGGAAUAUGCCUUUAGGUGGGGGACAACAGUUGGAAACGACUGCUAAUACCGCAUAAUGUCUACGGACCAAAGGAAGGGGGCUUUCGGGCUCCCGCACAAAGAGUAGCCUAAGCGAGAUUAGCUUGUUGGUGAGGUAAAGGCUCACCAAGGCGACGAUCUCUAGCUGUUCUGAGAGGAAGAUCAGCCACACUGGGACUGAGACACGGCCCAGACUCCUACGGGAGGCAGCAGUGGGGAAUAUUGCACAAUGGGGGGAACCCUGAUGCAGCCAUGCCGCGUGUGUGAAGAAGGCCUUCGGGUUGUAAAGCACUUUCAGUUGUGAGGAAAGGAAGUUGGUUAAUGCCCAGUUUCUGUGACGUUAGCAACAGAAGAAGCACCGGCUAACUCCGUGCCAGCAGCCGCGGUAAUACGGAGGGUGCGAGCGUUAAUCGGAAUUACUGGGCGUGAAGCGCACGCAGGCGGUUUGUUAAGCUAGAUGUGAAAGCCCCGGGCUCAACCUGGGAAUAGCAUUUAGAACUGGCAGGCUAGAGUCUUGGAGAGGGGAGUGGAAUUUCUGGUGUAGCGGUGAAAUGCGUAGAUAUCAGAAGGAACAUCAGUGGCGAAGGCGGCAACCUGGCCCAAUACUGACGCUGAGGUGCGAAAGCGUGGGUAGCGAACAGGAUUAGAUACCCUGGUAGUCCACGCCGUAAACGAUGUCAACUAGCUGUCUGUAGACUUGAUCUGUGGGUAGCGCAGCUAACGCGCUAAGUUGACCGCCUGGGGAGUACGGCCGCAAGGUUAAAACUCAAAUGAAUUGACGGGGGCCCGCACAAGCGGUGGAGCAUUUGGUUUAAUUCGACGCAACGCGAAGAACCUUACCUACUCUUGACAUCCUCAGAACUUUCCAGAGAUGGAUUGGUGCCUUCGGGAACUGAGUGACAGGUGCUGCAUGGCUGUCGUCAGCUCGUGUCGUGAGAUGUUGGGCUAAGUCCCAUAACGAGCGCAACCCUUGUCCUUAGUUGCCAGCGCGUCAUGGCGGGGACUCUAAGGAGACUGCCGGGGAUAAACCGGAGGAAGGGGGGGACGACGUCAAGUCAUCAUGGCCCUUAUGAGUAGGGCUACACACGUGCUACAAUGGUCAGUACAGAGGGUUGCCAAGCCGCGAGGUGGAGCUAAUCCCAGAAAGCUGAUCCUAGUCCGGCGUGUGGAGUCUGCAACUCGACUCCAUGAAGUCGGAAUCGCUAGUAAUCGCGAAUCAGCAUGUCGCGGUGAAUACGUUCCCGGGCCUUGUACACACCGCCCGUCACACCAUGGGAGUGGAUUGCACCAGAAGUAGGUUGCCUAACCUUCGGGAGGGCGCUUACCACGGUGUGCUUCAUGACUGGGGUGAAGUCGUAACAAGGUAGCCGUAGGGGAACCUGCGGCUGGAUCACCUCCUU